rnacentral:rRNA from 1 species
UAAGCGGAGGAAAAGAAACUAACAAGGAUUCCCCUAGUAACGGCGAGUGAACAGGGAAGAGCUCAAAUUUGUAAUCUGGCGUCCCUUGGGCGUCCGAGUUGUAAUCUAUAGAAGCGUUUUCCGUGCUGGACCAUGUCCAAGUCCCUUGGAACAGGGUAUCAAAGAGGGUGACAAUCCCGUGCUUGACAUGACGACCAGUGCUCUGUGAUACGCUCUCUACGAGUCGAGUUGUUUGGGAAUGCAGCUCAAAAUGGGUGGUGAGUUCCAUCUAAAGCUAAAUAUUGGCGAGAGACCGAUAGCGAACAAGUACCGUGAGGGAAAGAUGAAAAGCACUUUGGAAAGAGAGUUAAACAGUACGUGAAAUUGUUGAAAGGGAAACGAUUGAAGUCAGUCGUGUCCGAGGGGUUCAGCCGGUCCCGCCGGUGUAUUCCCCUCGGAUGGGUCAACGUCAGUUUGGACCGGUGGAAAAGGGCAGUUGGAAGGUGGCAGCUCCGGUUGUGUUAUAGCCUUCUGUCGCACACGCCGGUCUAGACUGAGGAAUGCAGCUCGCCUUCAUGGCUGGGGUUCUCCCACAUUCGAGCUUAGGAUGUUGACAUAAUGGCUUUAACGACCCGUCUUGAAACACG